rnacentral:lncRNA from 1 species
ACUGAUCAGACAUUCAUUAUAUCUGGGAACUUGGCAGUUUAUUGUAACAAAUAAAUAAUAGGACAGGCUUAGGGUAUUAGGGGCUCAGGAAUUUUUUUAACCUUAAGUAAUAGCAAACAUUUAAAGUCAUGCCUGAGUAGAUCCAUGACGAAUCAUUCAAUUAUCUGCAUUUUUCUCCUCUUCUUAAAGUCCCCACCUUUGACAGUUUGACAAACUAAAAACUAAAUAUUUUAGUUUCGCUCCAGGGAAAUAAGACUUACUUAGUUUUUCUCUACUGUGGUUUAACUGGGGGCAAAAGGUGUUCCCCAUCCUUCAGUGGGAGAAGGAUAAGAGCCAAACUCCUAUUAUCGGCUAUGUCCUAGUCGUGGAAUGUCCUGAAUCCUAAAGUUAUCUUGACUUUAAAACUCUAUUGAAAAUUUUUCUCUUUGGUGAAAAAGAGGACAUGGGCUGCCGUGAACCCAGUGAGCAGUAGCAUUUGUCUAUCUCCUGGCAGCUGGUUCUUUAGUAAAGCAGGCAACAGAAUUUGUGAUGACGACAACCUCUUUGAACGGGAUCCUGAAGUAAAUAUUCCCUGUUUCCCUUGGGAGAAAUAGCUCCGAAAGAAGAAUGUUGGUAAUUACAAAGGUACUUUUUGUUGCUCUGGAGUAACUUCUUAUCUUAAAUGGAGUAUUAAGGAGGAUUGCAUGUUUUUAAAUGAAGAAAUGGGUUAUGUAAAAUAUUCAAAGAAAUAUGAAUAUUCACAAAAUAUUCUGGCCUGUGCAGAAUUUUCAUGUAUAAGGCCUCCUUUUGAUUUCUGGAAGGAAACUUGAUGAUAUUUAGAAAGUGUGGGUGCGGGUUUGAAAGUUAAAACAUUGUAAGUAAACAUUUUUUUAAAGGAGUUCCCCUUUGUGGCUCAGUGGUUACAAACCCAGUUAGUAUCCAUGAGGAUGAGGGUUCGAUCCUUGGCCUCGCUCAGUGGGUUAGGGAUCUGGUGUUGCCAUGAGCUGUGGUGUAGGUGGCCCCGAUCCUGUGUUGCUGUGGCUGUGGCAAGUCACAGCUGCAGCUCUGAUUCAACACCCUAGCCUGGGAACUGGGAACUGGGAACUGGGGCUGCGGCCCUAAAAAGCAAACAAACAAACAAAACCAGAAAAACCCUGCAUUUGUUUAAAAAUGGAUAAGGAUAUAAAAUAUUAUUAUAUAUCUAAAAUAUUACAAAGAAAGCUUUUCUAAGCAUUUUUUAAAUUAAAAUUUUUUUUCCAGAUAAAUGAAGCAAGGCAUAAGUCUUCCUUUGGUUCUAAUUAUGGAGUAUUUGAAAAUCUAUAGUGUUUUCAAGGAAUAUUUCAUCGACUUAUCUUAGGUGGGGUGUAUUGAGCAAGGAUGGUCAGAGAUAAGCUUUGAUCAACUUUCUUGGAUAAACUAAUAUUACAAAUGCUCAUGACACAGAAGUUUGUUUAUUUUCAUUUUUCUUUUUUCUUUUUUCUUUUUUUUAUUUUCCCACUGUACAGCAAGAGGGUCAGGUUAUCCUUACAUGUAUACAUUACAAUUACAUUUUUUCCCCCACCCUUUGUUCUGUUGCAACAUGAGUAUCUAGACAUAGUUCUCAACGCUAUUCAGCAGGAUCUCCUUGUAAAUCUAUUCUAAGUUGUGUCUGAUAAGCCCAAGCUCCCGAUCCCUCCCACUCUCUCCCCCUCCCAUCAGGCAGCCACAAGUCUCUUCUCCAAGUCCAUGAUUUUCUUUUCUGAGGAGAUGUUCAUUAGUGCUGGAUAUUAGAUUCCAGUUAUAAGAGAUAUCAUAUAGUAUUUGUCUUUGUCUUUCUGGCUCAUUUCACUCAGGAUGAGAAUCUCUAGUUCCAUCCAUGUUGCUGCAAAUGGCAUUAUGUCAUCCUUUUUUAUGGCUGAGUAGUAUUCCAUUGUGUAUAUAUACCACAUCUUCCGAAUCCAAUCAUCUGUCGAUGGACAUCUGGGUUUUUUUUUUUUUUUGGGUUUUUUCAUUUUUCUUUAGAUACCAAAGCGUCCAACAAGAUGUUUUUUGUUGUUGUUGUUGUUGUUUUGUUAAUUAAAAAAAUCCCAAGCAUACAUGGUUGAUGAAAGAAUAAAUUAAAUGGAAUUUAUUUAGAUAUCAACAAGGUAUCUGUUUAUAACAUUGAAAAUGUUGGCAUUGGAGUCAAAGAAGGCUAAUUACAUGGAUCCAUAUAACAGUGAAAACUUGCAGUGUCUUUCUGGAGGGCUCUGCCCCAAUCAUGGUAUAUAACUCACUUUCUCAAUGAGCACCUUGCUAGGAGGAUCAAAUUUGAAGAGUGUUGAGGUUUGGUAUAAAUUAACCAUUUGGUUGAUAGUAUCAGAGUUCAAAUUUAUCUCAGCAGAAUGAAACAGGUCAUUGGGAUAAAUAUAAAGUCUUCAUACCCGAGGAGAUAAUAAAGAAGUGAUUUCCUCAUAUUGCAAGGGAAAAGGCUUAAUGGCUUUAGGGGACUUAGUUUGGGUUAACAAUUUUGUAUUAGCCUUGUUUGGGCUGGCCUCCUUCCCCCCAAACUAAGGUUGUGUUAGCAGAAGCUGAGCAUCUCUUCAAGAACAGUUUUACUGAUAUGGAUGUAACUACUCUGUAACAUUCCAGGAGUCUUAUUUUUCACUAAUUUAAAAUCUUACCUUAAAAGCAUUAAAGGAGUUAGAGCCAGAAUGAUGAGGGGACUUGAGGAAGAAAUAGGAAAAGAGGAUCCAGGAGUCAAGGUGGCUCCCAAAUGCCAUAAUCCCAAAAAGACCUUUGGACACAAGUGUAAUUAGAUUUCUUUCCUGUUUAGCCAUUAUAGGGAGAGGGCUGUGGGCUCAGUCAAAAGAAGAGCCUUUGAUAGAACCGUUUCAGAAUGGCGUGGGGUAGCGUUAGAAAUAGUGGCCCUCCUAGACAUACCCAACAGAGGUCGAGUUAAUAAUUUGUCAGGAUGUUAGAGAAGAAACUCAUAUCUGGUAAUGGUUGGUCCAAGUCAUUUCUGAGUUUCCUUUAGGUUCUGAGAUUCUUAAGUUUCACAUUACUUAUUGAAAAGGGUAUGGUUUGUCUGUUUAUCUGCUUAUACAUGUUCCAUCUCAAAAUAAUUACAAAAAUUGAAAAGGCCAUUAGGAAAAAAUAUUAUCAGCAAGUAUGUAGUGGAUAUGUGUAAAAUGCAGUGGAUUAUGUAUAAAAAUGUGGUAAUAAUCUUAGUUACUUGAAAGACUCACCCGUUUUGACAGGUGGAGAAGGGAAGACAAGCAUUUCAGGGUUGAGCAGAAGGGUGAUAAAAAAUAUUUAAUCAGGACUUCUCUCUAGGGUGCUGCGGGAUGAUCGCCAUCUCUGUAGCACCAAGAUGCAGGCUUGAUCCCUGGCUGGUACAGUGGGUUGAAGGAUCUGGCAUUGGCACAGCUGUGGUGUAGGUCACAACUGUGGGUCGGAUCUGAUCCCUGGCCCAGGAACUCCCUAUCCUGUGGGGCAGCCAAAAAAAGAAAAAUAUAUAUAUAUAUUGAUCAUUAUAUAAAGAGGCCUUAAGGUGGGAAAGUAUAUAAUAGUAAUAGUCACCUAUUAUUAUACCUGUUGUCUGUCAGACUUUUUUUGUAGGUGCUUUUAGAUAUAUUUUACUGGUCACCACAGCAAGUGGGAACAGUGCUUGCCAUACAUAUUUUACACAUGAAAAAACCAAGUGCAGAGUGAUUGCCAUAUAAAAAGUCAGUGG